GGAUGGGUGAGUAAUACGUGGGCAACCUGCCCUCUAGCUUGGGAUACCACUUGGAAACAGGUGCUAAUACCAAAUAAGAAGUAAGAGCGCAUGCUCAAGCUAUAAAAAGGCGGCGUAAGCUGUCACUAGAGGAUGGGCCCACGGUGCAUUAGCUAGUUGGUAAGGUAACGGCUUACCAAGGCGAUGAUGCAUAGCCGAGUUGAGAGACUGAACGGCCACAUUGGGACUGAGACACGGCCCAA
rnacentral:rRNA from 1 species